rnacentral:rRNA from 1 species
AGAUGGGCAUGCGUGCCAUUAGCUAGUUGGUGAGGUAAGGGCUCACCAAGGCGAUGAUGGCUAGGGGUUCUGAGAGGAUUAUCCCCCACACUGGUACUGAGACACGGACCAGACUCCUACGGGAGGCAGCAGUAAGGAAUAUUGGGCAAUGGACGCAAGUCUGACCCAGCCAUGCCGCGUGCAGGAAGACGGCCCUAUGGGUUGUAAACUGCUUUUGUCAGGGAAUAAACCCCCGGAUGUAUCCGGGGCUGAAUGUACCUGAAGAAUAAGCAUCGGCUAACUCCGUGCCAGCAGCCGCGGUAAUACGGAGGAUGCGAGCGUUAUCCGGAUUCAUUGGGUUUAAAGGGUGCGCAGGCGGAUUAUUAAGUCAGUGGUGAAAUCCUACAGCUCAACUGUAGAACUGCCAUUGAUACUGAUAAUCUUGAGUAUAUUUGAAGUGGGCGGAAUGUAGCAUGUAGCGGUGAAAUGCAUAGAUAUGCUACAGAACACCAAUUGCGAAGGCAGCUCACUAAACUAUAACUGACGCUCAUGCACGAAAGCGUGGGGAUCAAACAGGAUUAGAUACCCUGGUAGUCCACGCUGUAAACGAUGAUUACUCGUUGUUGGCGACACACAGUCAGCGACCAAGCGAAAGUGAUAAG